rnacentral:rRNA from 1 species
CCCGCUGAACUUAAGCAUAUCAAUAAGCGGAGGAAAAGAAACCAACAGGGAUUGCCUUAGUAACGGCGAGUGAAGCGGCAAAAGCUCAAAUUUGAAAUCUGGCAGUAAUGUCCGAGUUGUAAUUUGAAGAAGGUAACUUUGGUGAUAGCUCUUGCAUAUGUUCCUUGGAACAGGACGUCAUAGAGGGUGAGAAUCCCGUAUAUGGUGAGAUGACAUAUUACUAUGUAAAGUGCCUUCGAAGAGUCGAGUUGUUUGGGAAUGCAGCUCUAAGUGGGUGGUAAAUUUCAUCUAAAGCUAAAUAUUGGCCAGAGACCGAUAGCGCACAAGUAGAGUGAUCGAAAGAUGAAAAGCACUUUGGAAAGAGAGUUAAACAGUACGUGAAAUUGUUGAAAGGGAAGCGCUUGCCACCAGACUUGCGCGCCGCUGAUCAUCCGGGGGUUUCCCCGGUGCACUUGGCGGCGCUCAGGCCAGCAUCGGUUUUGGUGGUUGGAUAAAGGCCUAGGGAAUGUAGCUCUCUGCGGGGAGUGUUAUAGCCCUAGGUGCAAUGCAGCCCACCGAGACCGAGGACCGCGCUCCGGCUAGGAUGCUGGCGUAAUGGUUGUAAGCGACCCGUCUUGAAACACGG